rnacentral:rRNA from 1 species
UGGGGAAUAUUGCACAAUGGGGGAAACCCUGAUGCAGCCAUGCCGCGUGUGUGAGAAGGCCUUCGGGUUGUAAAGCACUUUCAGCGAGGAGGAAAGGUUGGUAGCUAAUAACUGCCAGCUGUGACGUUACUCGCAGAAGAUGCACCGGCUAACUCCGUGCCAGCAGCCGCGGUAAU